GAUCAUUGUUUUUCUAGGGUUAGGAAUAUCGAUUGCAAAUCGACUAUUUAGGGUUCAACUCCCUCAAUGAUCUC
rnacentral:tRNA from 1 species